UAGUGCUUGCAGCUCUUUCUGAAUUUGUCUAGUAGGUCUUCUGGCCUUUACUGCAAGCUGCCCCU